rnacentral:rRNA from 1 species
UACAGAGGGGGCGAGCGUUGUUCGGAAUUACUGGGCGUAAAGGGCGCGUAGGCGGCCUGCUAAGUCGAACGUGAAAUCCCUGGGCUCAACCCAGGAACUGCGUCCGAUACUGGUUGGCUUGAAUCCGGGAGAGGGAUGUGGAAUUCCAGGUGUAGCGGUGAAAUGCGUAGAUAUCUGGAGGAACACCGGUGGCGAAGGCGACAUCCUGGACCGGUAUAGACGCUGAGGCGCGAAAGCCAGGGGAGCAAACGGG